GCUUACGGCCAUACUACCCUGAGAACACCUGAUCUCAUCUGAUCUCGGAAGCUAAGCAGGGUCGGGCCUGGUUAGUACUUGGAUGGGAGACGGCCUGGGAAUACUAGGUGCUGUAAGCU